rnacentral:lncRNA from 1 species
CCCAGCAUGCAUUUAUCCAGGCUUUACCAGGGGACUUCUGCUUCCAGCAGCCAGGAUGGAGGAAUAAGAGAGGAUCUGAGCUUCCCCAAACCCACCUGCAAACAACCACAAAAAGAGAAAAAGGUCCCCAAACCUUUACUAUGGCUAAGAAUUGGGCCAAGCACUGUGGAUGUCAUAAAAGGCAAAAACAGUCCCUGCCUUCAAGAAGCUCCCACUCCAGGGAGGGAGAACCAGGAUGGGCCCUGCAGAAGCUUGCUCUGGCUUCACCCUUAG